rnacentral:rRNA from 1 species
GUGAGGAAUUUUCCGCAAUGGGCGAAAGCCUGACGGAGCAAUGCCGCGUGAAGGAUGAAGGCCUAUGGGUUGUAAACUUCUUUUCUCAGAAAAGAAUUAUGACGGUAUCUGAGGAAUAAGCAUCGGCUAACUCUGUGCCAGCAGCCGCGGUAAGACAGAGGAUGCAAGCGUUAUCCGGAAUGAUUGGGCGUAAAGCGUCUGUAGGUUGUUUAAAAAGUAUUCUGUCAAAGAUUAGGGCUUAACCCUAGAUAGGCAGAAUAAACUUUUAAGCUAGAGUUUGGUAGAGGCAGAGGGAAUUCCCGGUGGAGCGGUGAAAUGCGUAGAUAUCGGGAGGAACACCAAAGGCGAAGGCACUCUGUUGGGCCAAUACUAACACUGAGAGACGAAAGCGAGGGGAGCAAAUGGGAUUAGAUACCCUAGUAGUCC